rnacentral:rRNA from 1 species
CUUCGGAUGAUUCUUAACUGACUGAGCGGCGGACGGGUGAGUAACGCGUGGGUGACCUGCCCCAUACCGGGGGAUAACAGCUGGAAACGGCUGCUAAUACCGCAUAAGCGCACAGAGCUGCAUGGCUCGGUGUGAAAAACUCCGGUGGUAUGGGAUGGGCCCGCGUCUGAUUAGGCAGUUGGCGGGGUAACGGCCCACCAAACCGACGAUCAGUAGCCGGCCUGAGAGGGCGACCGGCCACAUUGGGACUGAGACACGGCCCAAACUCCUACGGGAGGCAGCAGUGGGGAAUAUUGCACAAUGGGGGAAACCCUGAUGCAGCGACGCCGCGUGAGCGAAGAAGUAUUUCGGUAUGUAAAGCUCUAUCAGCAGGGAAGAUAAUGACGGUACCUGACUAAGAAGCCCCGGCUAACUACGUGCCAGCAGCCGCGGUAAUACGUAGGGGGCAAGCGUUAUCCGGAUUUACUGGGUGUAAAGGGAGCGUAGACGGCAAGGCAAGUCUGAUGUGAAAACCCAGGGCUUAACCCUGGGACUGCAUUGGAAACUGUCUGGCUCGAGUGCCGGAGAGGUAAGCGGAAUUCCUAGUGUAGCGGUGAAAUGCGUAGAUAUUAGGAAGAACACCAGUGGCGAAGGCGGCUUACUGGACGGUAACUGAC